CUGUGCCACUUCAAAGGUGAGAGGAAGGGUGCUGCAUUGCCUCAGGGUGGGAGUGAGUCCCGGCUUCCCUCGUGACUUAUUGUUUGGUGCGAAGUGACGUGACGUCCUGGUGAGAGAGAGGAAGGGAGAAGGGGACUUGGUUGGCCCUGGUGUCUAGCUCCCAGUGUCCUUCUGUUGACAGCAGCUGGCGUGGGGCUGUGGUUUCCCUGUGGUGCUGGUCCAGGUGGGGGUUUUGCUGUUGCUGUUGGAAAGUUCAACUUGCUGGACUGCGCCCUUCCUGGUGUCUUGGCUGGAGAGCGCAGGGUUUCCUUGGGACUUUCGUGUGUGUCUGCCCGUGUUGGUUUUUCUGGGUUGCAGGUUCUUCAACUUCUAUAUCUCCAGAGAAAUAGGGGGCAGGAGAAACAUCCAGGCAGGCCUCCGUUUCCCCUCUCCCCUCCACUCAGGAGCCUUGUGUUGUUCUACAGUCAGGACCCUCAGGUGAGGGGAGGGGAAGGGCCUGCACCGCCCACCCCGGGGACGGGAGCUCUGCAGUGGACACUUUCCCCUUUCAGCACUGGACUGGCGGCCCCUUUGUCUCCACUCCCAUUAUUUCUGAUGGUGAAUGAGUGGAAUUUCAGAUCGUUGUUUUCUGUUUGUAACGGGUCAUUUUUCUCUGGCUUCUUUCAGGAUUUUCUCUUUCACUUUUAUUUUCGGCAGUUUUAACUGUCAGGUGACUGGGUGUGGUUUUAUUUGUGUUUGUCCUGCUUGAGGUGGUCUGAGUCAAAAAGUUUGGAUGAUUUCUGUCCAUUCUUUCUUUUUUCUUUUUCUUUUUAUUAGUUAUUGAUGGACCUUUAUUUAUUUAUUUAUUUUUAUGUGGUGCUGAGCCACAAACCAGCCCCUACCAUUUCUUUUUGUUUUGUGUUUGUUUUUGUUUUGUACUUGGGAUUGAACCCAGGGCCUAAUGUAUGAUAGGCGAGUGCUCUACCACUAACCUACUUCCCCAGCCAUUUUUUUUUAAAAAUACAUUUUUAGUCGUAGGUGGACAUAAUACCUUUAUUUUGUUUAUUUAUAUGUGGUGCUUGAGGAUGGAACCCAGUGCCUCACACACGUUAGGCGAGUGCUCUAUUGCUGAGCCACAACCCCAGCCCUCCCCACUCAUUUUUAUGUUUUAUUUUGAGAAGAAGCUGACCUCAAAAUUGCAAUCUUCCUGCCUCAGCUUCCU
rnacentral:lncRNA from 1 species